rnacentral:rRNA from 1 species
GACGAACGCUGGCGGCGUGCUUAACACAUGCAAGUCGUACGGUAAGGCCCUUUCGGGGGUACACGAGUGGCGAACGGGUGAGUAACACGUGAGUAACCUGCCCACAACUUUGGGAUAACGCUAGGAAACUGGUGCUAAUACUGGAUAUGUGCUCCUGCUGCAUGGUGGGGGUUGGAAAGCUCCGGCGGUUGUGGAUGGACUCGCGGCCUAUCAGCUUGUUGGCGGGGUAGUGGCCUACCAAGGCGGCGACGGGUAGCCGGCCUGAGGGGGUGACCGGCCACAUUGGGACUGAGAUACGGCCCAGACGCCUACGGGAGGCAGCAGGGGGGAAUAUUGCACAAUGGGCGCAAGCCUGAUGCAGCAACGCCGCGUGCGGGAUGACGGCCUUCGGGUUGUAAACCGCUUUCAGCAGGGACGAAGCUUUUUGUGACGGUACCUGCAGAAGAAGCACCGGCUAACUACGUG